AGCGGUUCCUUUCAGCGUCUGCCAAUCUAUCAAGAUUCAGCUACCGCUGUGAACCCAUCAACUCCAUGGAAAGGAAAAAAGGAACCCUCACCACAGCAAUUAUUUAUCCUGGCCUGAACUUCAGGUGACCUUUCCCAGGUCCACAGAAGUUGCAGAUGGGAGCACCUUGGUGUGUAGGAUUUUUUCCCCACUGUGUCCUUUUAAAAAACACAUUUUUUUUCAUGACAUGAACCUCUUUUGCAAAAUUUUCUUUUGCAAAAAGAUCUUUGGGUGGUCUAUAAGACCACAACAGGGGUGGAACAUUGGCCUACCUAGAGCACAGAUUGGAUGUAAACGAAGUCAUCCAAAGAUAAAAUAAACGAAGAAACAAAAACUGUGACCUCAUGGGGAUGGUUUCAGAGAAGACCCGAGUGCAGCUCACCCACAGGCCAGCUCAGCCCUCGGACAAAAAUAAGGGGCUGUUCUGCACCAAAGGCUCUGCCCUGACCCGGGGAGAUCCAAUAUUGUAAACUCUGUGGGUGGGUAUUUGUGUGUGUCCCCGAAUCAGAGAAAAAUCCAGGCCAUAACAAGGACUAUGCAGGGUGUAACUCCCCGUGUAAAUUUAAAGUGACCUAAGGGACAUAAUUACAUAAAUCUCAUCAUGAGACAAUAUACUUUUUAUUUGUUUGAAUUUUAUUUGUAUUGGUAAAACUGACCUGAAACUGACACAAGUUUAUUAGAAAAAGGACUCUGUAAAAGCAAGUGGGCUGGUCUUCUUAUUUAAGAUGGAUGUGCCGACUUCUAGUAUGAUUAGAGAAAUGGAUAACUCACUAACAUCUGUGCAAACUACAAUAAAAAGGGAUUUAGUGUUACCCCAAGGAAGGCAAGAGAGGCUGUCUGUCCAUUAAACGCUUUAUUACAGCGCCAGCAGCUUUUUUCUAAUUCAGUUAUUCCUGCACAGCGUUCAGCACUCUGACUGCCUGUCAACCCACCAGACAGUGCUCGGGGCUGGGAGGUUUUGUGCAAGGUAGGUGACAAUCAAAUGAGCCACUGAGAAGAGAGGGGAGCCUGACCCUCGUGAAGGAUUAACUACAGAAAGUGAGUGUGAUCAUGUCACACCAUUACUUAGAAUUUUCACAGUCAAUUUCUGAAAAUAUGAGAUAAGUUCUUAAAGAGGCAGUUGUCUCAGGAGCUAAGCAGACCCAGUGUGGUUUUGUUCCAUGUGACAGGGCAGGGAGCCUGGAGAAAGAGUAGGGACUUCGAGGGAGAGGGAACAGGUGGCAUCAGCACUGUGCCUAUCCUCUGUAGGGCAUUCUAGAGCCAGGCCUUGGAGCAACUGGCUCCCAGGAAGGCUGCAGCCAAGAAGGGAGAGGAUGGAGAGAUGCCUUCUGGGACCAAGAUGCCAUAUAUCCCUCCUCCACUGGAUGCUGGAAUCCAGCCUCUCCUGGGGUCAACUGGGCUAAUGAACAUGACCCUUUGGUGAUCAUAUUAGGCUUUGGGUUCACAGGAAGCCUGUCUAGGGCAGUCAAGAUGCCGGUGCUGGGAUGAAAUGUCCAUCUUCUAUCACUCCUUUUCACCCCUGCAACUGCUACAACCAAUAUCAUCAUAAGCUUCCCCAAAAGACUAUAUGCCCCUACGGCAUGCAAAAAGAUCCAGUCCCACAGGAGCUCACAAGCCACAUGCUUAAGAAAAGUACUAUAUGCUCAACACAAAUAUACUUGAGAUAUAUAUUUUCAAAGCCUGGCAAAGGUAGAUGACAGUACAAGGAAGCAUGGCACAUUUUGGGGCCAGAGAUGAGUCUGUCCCUCAUUUAUAGAUGGCAGAUCUUUAACACAAAAAGGGGAAGGCUCCACCCAGAGCACACGCAAUCUUUGGGAAGUGGAGCUGAGACCGGAGCCCCAUGUUCCUGAUCUCCUGACCAACAGAAGUUAUGCUACAGGGCUUCACGCAGUAGGGCUUUUUGAGAAGAUGGACUGGAAAUGUGAUUUCUUCCUUUGCAUCUAUAUAUUUAAAUGAGAAAAGUAAACCACAAACCUCUAAGCUUGGUUCUGCUAAAGUAAUUUAACAUCUGCUGCCACCUGAAUGUAAUUGAAACAAUUCAUUAUCAAAUUUACUGAUCUGCUUAAUGAUUUUGUAUUUCUCUUUCAAAAUCACCUUCCUCCUAAGCUAGCCUAGGUAAAUUACCCUUUGCUUCAAAUCUGAGAGAUUGAAGGGACCUGGGAGAACAUCCAAUUCAAGCCCCCUCACUUUAAAAAUGGUGUAACAGUGUUUUGUGUGUCCAUGGUGAGGUUGCAGACCUUUAUCGAGGUCACAGAGCAAGUCCAGCAAGAGUUGAACACAGGCUGCCAGAAUUCCACCCUUGUCUCAUUCCGAGAUUGUGUGCUGAGGGUUUUCAACUGCAUCUCUAAAGGGAAGGCCAAAGAAAGAGCAACAGGAAAGGAUGGUAAAAAGGGGGUAGAAAGGAAGAAGGAAGGGAAGAAAAAAGGGAAAACAGCAAGCUCUCUUUCCAGAGCCACACAUUUUUUUCUGUUUGCUCAGUGGCAGUCUGUUAAAGAAAUACUUCAUUGUCACUGAACACAGAGUCAUUAAAGGCACCUUGGAAAUUUGGACCCUUUUACUAGAAUCAGGGCUUAAAUAGCAACUUAAUUUAUGACACUUCUCGAGGCUGAUGGCGUUUUUGCUCUAAGACCUGCCUUGCAAGAAAUGUUAAAAGAAGUGCUUUAGAGAGCAGGGAAAUUCUAUAGGUCAGACACUUGGAUCUACAUAAAAAAAGGAAGAAACCAAAGGAGAAAUAAGUGAAGGCAUGGAAACCUUGUUCCACACAUUGCCUGGUGCCCUGUCCAGCGCUGCAAGGUGCACUGCGUCUCCUCUGCCCAGCAAGCCACAAGCCCCUCCAGGGUGAGAGGAGAGCCUUCCCUUCCCUUGGUCCUCCCUUCGACACAGGGAGCUGGAGCUGGACAGCCCCAUAGGCACUCAGGGCUUGAAGAAGAUAUCUAGAAAUGUCAAAGCAGAAGAGCCUCGGAGAUAAUCUGAACUAUUUCUGAGUUUAUAUAAGGGAAAACUGAGACUGGAGAGAACUAACAUGUCUAAUAUUACAAUGGAAACUUGUAAUAAAACCACAAAUUGA
rnacentral:lncRNA from 1 species